rnacentral:rRNA from 1 species
UACGAAGGGGGCUAGCGUUGCUCGGAAUCACUGGGCGUAAAGCGCACGUAGGCGGAUUGCUAAGUCAGGGGUGAAAUCCUGGAGCUCAACUCCAGAACUGCCUUUGAUACUGGCGAUCUUGAGUCCGGGAGAGGUGAGUGGAACUGCGAGUGUAGAGGUGAAAUUCGUAGAUAUUCGCAAGAACACCAGUGGCGAAGGCGGCUCACUGGACCGGUUCUGACGCUGAGGCGCGAAAGCGUGGGGAGCAAACGGG